UGGGGAAUAUUGGACAAUGGGGGCAACCCUGAUCCAGCCAUGCCGCGUGUGUGAAGAAGGCCCUCGGGUUGUAAAGCACUUUCAGCGAGGAAGAACGCCUAAUGGUUAAUACCCGUUAGGAAAGACAUCACUCGCAGAAGAAGCACCGGCUAACUCCGUGCCAGCAGCCGCGGUAAUACGGAGGGUGCAAGCGUUAAUCGGAAUUACUGGGCGUAAAGCGCGCGUAGGCGGCUUAAUAAGCCGGUUGUGAAAGCCCCGGGCUCAACCUGGGAACGGCAUCCGGAACUGUUAAGCUAGAGUGCAGGAGAGGAAGGUAGAAUUCCCGGUGUAGCGGUGAAAUGCGUAGAGAUCGGGAGGAAUACCAGUGGCGAAGGCGGCCUUCUGGACUGACACUGACGCUGAGGUGCGAAAGCGUGGGUAGCAAACA
rnacentral:rRNA from 1 species